rnacentral:tRNA from 1 species
UUUAACUUGGCAGAUAAAAUGCAAUUGAUUUAGAAUCAUUUUAUAAUAUAACUAUUAGUUGGUA